GACGAACGCUGGCGGCGUGCCUAAUACAUGCAAGUCGAGCGGACGGAUGGGAGCUUGCUCCCAGACCGUCAGCGGCGGACGGGUGAGUAACACGUGGGCAACCUGCCUGUAAGACUGGGAUAACUCCGGGAAGCCGGGGCUAAUACCGGAUAACUCUUUCCCUCACAUGAGGGAAAGCUGAAAGAUGGCAUCUCGCUAUCACUUACAGAUGGGCCCGCGGCGCAUUAGCUAGUUGGUGAGGUAACGGCUCACCAAGGCGACGAUGCGUAGCCGACCUGAGAGGGUGAUCGGCCACACUGGGACUGAGACACGGCCCAGACUCCUACGGGAGGCAGCAGUAGGGAAUCUUCCGCAAUGGACGAAAGUCUGACGGAGCAACGCCGCGUGAGUGAUGAAGGUUUUCGGAUCGUAAAACUCUGUUGUCAGGGAAGAACAAGUACCGGAGCAACUGCCGGUACCUUGACGGUACCUGACCAGAAAGCCACGGCUAACUACGUG
rnacentral:rRNA from 1 species